UCCCGUGGCCACCUCUAGUCAAGCAGAUUUCUCAAACAAUAUGGUACCCUGCAAACCAUGUUCAAUAGAGAUGAAAAUGGAGUGUAGAUCAGAGGUGGAAGAAACUGGUCUCUCGAUUUCUCAUUUUUCCAGCCUUAAGUUCUGUUCUCCACAUUUCCACAUCUCUUUGUGAUGGUGAAAGAAUUGAAGUCCUCAUGAAAAUCCACCAGCACAUUAGUGCAAAUGACUCCUAACACACACAUUCUUUGCUAUGUGAUAUUGCCUAACAUGCACAUUUUUUGCAUAUCAAUUUCAUUUAUUUUUAUGUUCUCUUCACAAACAUUUUUGCAUGUUAUUUUCACAAACAUUUUAAUGCAUGCUUUAUCGCAGUAUGUGGUGCUUUCCCCUCCAUGUUACUUGACUGGAGAGCUGCAUUGCAAAAUUCAGAGAAGUGUGAAUUUCAAAGGAUAGCUGCGUUUCGGUUUGUGCAUUGUUUCUGAAAGUGUGAAUGGGGUAGGUUCACCUUUAAAUGUGAACUGAAUCUGACUUCUCCCCCAUUCGUGGCAGAGAGGGUGGGUGGAAGAGUCUGGAUUUCCCUAGAAGCAGGUGCAAGAUGCCUUUAGGAGCUUCCGGGACGCCGCGGCCACGGGAAGGAGCGCGAGGCAACUCGUCUGAGGAGCCUCGAACAGCGUGGGGGUCUUAGAGGGGUCACGAAGGCUCCGUGAACCCCUAAACCACAGGUGGAAUAUCCUGUUGGUCAAAACACCCAGCAAGGCUGCGUGUGCUCGCCUGUGUUGCCGGCGUUUAACAAGGCUGGAGCCGCAGCGAGAAGGGGAAACAUCAGACUCCAUGCUGUGAAGCCUCAGGCUCCGAGUGAAAGCGGCGGACCUCCAACAACAGAGGAAAAGCUGGGAAAUAGUUCUAAAGCUUUGAUGAAAGCAGAGGAGGGAGAACACUGGAAAACAAUCAAAGUAAAAACAAAAGGAACGUUGAAUGAAGUUGAAUGAAGUACCCAGCGGAGAAGUAAUUAAAGACAAAGGAAGGAGGAAUUCACUACUGGCGGUAAGAAUGAUAAAGGAGUAAAGCGAAAAGCUGGCAGACGUGAAUGAAAGAGCAAGAAAGUAACCGCUAGCGAGGGGAAGGAAUAUCCUCGAUAAUAAAGUACAUUUUACAAAGUACAAAGUACAAAGAGUUGGAAGCAAGGUAAUACUGAGUUUUCUUCUUUUGAUAGAGAGACUCUUUACCGGGUUUGAGAGGAGGAAAGGAGGUUUCUGGGGCAUUUGGUUGAUGCUUUAACUGACAGGUUUUUUGAGGACGUUAUUGUUAACAUCAACUUUUUGUUUGAAGUGGGUGGAAGAAAGCAUGGGUCUUCCCAGACCUUAAUGUUGGUUUUAUGUUAGUGACUUCCCAUGGGUAUAAAAAGGGAGGAGGAAGCCAUUUCGAGACCUAACUUGGCUUUGCUAUCCGCCAUUCCAUCUUGUCCUUGAUCUACUACGCCUCUGCAUGUAUUUGAGAUUUAAAGGGACAUGCGCCAAAAGCCAAAUAGGAGAAUUUAAACCAGCAUAAAGAACACUUCCUGAAGAACUGCCAAGUCUCCAGUAAAGAAAAAUUUUUGGUGACGCCAGACCUCUAUAAUACCACCCUCUAAGAGGACAAAGACUGUAAAAGGUAAAGAUUGUAAAACUUUGUGUAUAGCCUGAUGUGUGAUGCCUAAUAUCUGCUAUUAUACCCCAACACCAGACCCGGUAACUUAUUAACCCAUCAGAGAUUAUCGGUGAUCCUGUGCCUCAUCCCUUUUUGAAUAACAUUAGUGUGGUGGACCCCAAGACCUUUCAAGCCUACAAAAUGACAAACGGUGCAAAAAAAGGCGUGGCAACACCAGCGGAAAGGAGGUCGUCGAGGCAAGAAGAUGCUAAGGAAAGUAAAGAAAUUAAAGACUAUAGCAGUCUGAUGGCCGAAAUAAGGAAAGAAUUCAAAAAUAAUGAACAAUAUAUUGAGAGAAAAUUACUUGAGGUACAGGACACUUUGGAUAAGAAAUUGGAGGGAGUGGUGGGGAAUUGACAGGAAAGGUUAAAGAUUUAUCAGUAAGAACUAAGGUUUUGGAAGAUUCAAUGAAAAAGGUGCAAAAAGAUACGAAAAUUAGUAAGAAGGAGGUGGAUAGAAUUAGAGUAGAAGUUAAAGAGAUAGAAAGAGUGCAGGAGGAGUUGUUGGACAAUAUGGCUAUGACGCAAAUGAGGCAAAAUCAAACCAACCUAAAACUGAGGGGUGUACCAGAGACCCCAAAUGAGAAUAUUAGAUCUAAAAUGAUAAAAGAGCUGGCAACUUGGUUAAAUAAGAGCGAGGAGGAGGUAAACUGCCAUUUAGUAAAUAUUUUUCGAAUAAGACCAAAAUCAGACAGAGCCAGAAAGAAAAAGCUGCCAGGUGAUGUAAUUGUCAUGUUCAACACUUUGGAAAUAAGAAAUGAAAUACUGCAACAGAACCACAUAAAAGGUUAUAUAUUGGAGGAAGCCCAAUUAUUAUCUUUAGAGAAAUUCCUUCGAGAUUUCUUCGAAGGAGAGAGCCAUACAAAAAUUAACAAACCAAUUGAAGAAGAAUGGGAUAUUGUAUAGAUGGGAGUUUCCCGACGGCAUUUCAUUCUAGUUUAAGGAAAAAGGUUUAAAUUAAGCACCAGUAUUGAACUCCAAAAAUUUGCGAGGAGAUACGAGAAGGACCUGGGAAAAGUUGAAGGGGAGGUGGAAAGGGAGGAACGACAGAGAGACGAGGAGGGUGAAGGGAGUGAAGAAGAAGAAAAAGAGGAGAGCUUAACAGGAGAAGGAGAAGAACAAGAGGAGGAAAGCAAGGAACAGUAGUCUCUAUUUAAUCUAGUUAAAUUAGCUAGAAUAGUUUAAUAGAUGGCUUUAAAAACAAUAAGCUGGAAUGUCAAUGGUUUGAACAAUAAAAAUAAGAGGAAUCAGAUUGCACAUGUAUUGUUGAAAAAGAAUUGGGAUUUAAUUUGUCUUCAAGAAACGCAUGUUAUAGGAAAACACAAGAGAGUAUUAAGUAAUAAGAGAUUGGGAUUGGACUUUGUGACCUCCGACAAGGUUAAGAAAAGAGGGGUAGUAAUUUAUAUAAAGGAAAAAUAUGACCCGCAACUACUGUAUAAAGAUGAACAUGGGAGAGUAGUGGUGGUACAGAUGGUGUUUCAUGGAGAAAAAUAGUUGUGGUUGGAAUAUACGCCCGAAUGAGAAAAAAUCAGCUUUCUUUUGGAAUUAGAUAAUAUACUAAUGGAAUGGAUGGACCAGAAAAUGAUAUUGAUGGGAGAUUUUAAUGGGGUGGUGACGCCGAAUAUGGAUAGAUUAACAAAAAGACAAGAUGGGAAAGAAGGUAAACUACCACGAUCUUUCUUCGACAUGGUAAAUAAUUUGGGAUUGACGGAUGUUUGGAGGUUUAAAAACCCUACUGCAAAACAAUUCACUUUUUUUUCAAAUCCGAAUCAGAGCUGGGGGAGGAUAGACAGUAUUUGGGUCUCGAGGGAAUUGGUACAGAAUUUAAUUAAGUCUGAAAUUUGGCCUCGAACUUUAUCUGAUCAUAGUGCGGUUUCCAUGGAGUUAAAAGGUAGAGAGGUUAAAACAGCCAGAUGGAGAAUGAAUGAAUAUUUAUUCAAUGAUCAAAGGAUAGUAAAUAAGGCUAUAGAAACAAUUGAAGAAUACUUUAGGUGGAAUUUAAAUGGAGAAACUUCCAUAGAGAUGGUGUGGGACGCAGGAAAAGCGGUCAUGAGGGGUUUUUUGAUUCAGAAAAAUACCCAAUUAAGAAAAGAAAAAGAAAAAAAGAAAGAGCAGAUUUUAAUACAGAUUAUGGAAAAUGAAAGAAAAUUAACUGUUAACCCUAGUGAAGAGAGUUUAAAACAGAACUUAAAAAUACUACAAGCUAAAUUUGCUACAAUAAUUAACCAAGAGAUAGAGUGGAAAAUUAAAAGGAUGAAUCAAAAGAACUUUGAGUCCGCAAAUAAGAUAGGGAAAUAUCUAGCGUGGCAGUUGAGAGAAAGGAAGAAGUUGAAUACGAUCAGUAAAAUAAAAGAAGGAGAUAUGAUUAUGGAAGAACCAAAAGAAAUAAAAAGAAUAUUCCAAAGAUAUUAUAAGGAUUUGUACAAAAGAGGAGAGGAAACAGAACAAGAAAUAGAUCAAUUUCUGCAAAAACACCAUCUGGAACAAAUUGUAGAAGAUGAAAGAGCAGCACUAGAUGAGAUAAUAACACAGGAAGAGAUAAAAAGGCUAUUAAAAAGAUGAAAGCUGAGAAGGCGCUGGACCGGACGGCCUUCCGGCCAAAUAUUAUAAAACAUUAAUUAACCAAAUAUCACCAGUGCUGGGAGAGGUUAUGAACAAUAUAUUGAGAGAAGGAAAGAUACCUAAUACCUGGAAGGAAGCCUAUGUUAUAUUGAUCCCUAAAAAAGAGGUGGACACUAUGGAAGUAAAGAACUAUAGGCCAAUCUCAUUAUUAAAUAAUGAUUAUAAGCUAUUUGCAGACAUAAUGGCGGAAAGAUUAAAGAAGGUCUUGAUUAAUAAAAUUCAUGGUGAUCAAACAGGAUUUCUCCCAGGGAGACAAUCACGGGAUAAUGUAAGGAAUUUGAUUGACAUUAUUGAAUACCUGGACAUGAAAAUAGACAGAAAAGCCGCACUGGUUUUCAUAGACGCCGAAAAGGCAUUUGAUAAUGUUUCCUGGAACUUCCUAAAGAAGGCUUUGGAAAGGAUGGGAAUUGGCGAAAAAUUUAGAAGAGGCAUAGAAGCAAUAUACAAAGAACAGAAAGCAAAGCUGGUGAUAAAUAACAAUACAACAGAAUAUUUUAACAUUUAUAAAGGGACCAGACAAGGUUGCCCCCUGUCCCCCUUAUUAUUUAUUGUAAUUUUGGAAGUACUUAAUAAGAGACUGAGGGAGGCAACAGAAGUGAAAGGAAUUAGAGUAGGAAAGAAGGAAUUCAAAAUUAAAGCCUUUGCCGACGAUAUUGUUUUGACUUUGGAAGAUCCACAAGAUAGUGUAAAAGAAGCAUUACAAAAAUUGAGGAAUUUGGAGAGGUGGCAGGUUUUAAGGUAAACAAGAAUAAAACUAAAAUGCUGGUUAAAAAUCUAACUAAGGAAGAAACGAAAGAUCUAGAACAAAAAGUGGAAAUCAUGGUGGUGAAAAAGUGAAAUAUUUGGGAGUGUGGAUUACGGCAAAAACAUAAACCUAUAUAAAGAUAAUUAUGAAGUUACAUGGAAAAAAAUAAAGAAAGAUCUGGAAAUAUGGGGAGGAUGAAAUUUUCCUUUUAGGGAAGAUAGCAGUGGUUAAAAUGAAUGUUUUGCCGAGGAUGUUGUUUUUAUUUCAAACUCUUCCAGUUAUUAAAGGUCUAAAACAAUGUAAAGAAUGGCAGAGAACCCUGAUGAAAUUCAUCUGGCAGGGGAAAAGACCAAGGAUUAAAAUGAAAAUACUAAUUGAUAAAAAGGAAAGAGGAGGUUUUGCCCUCCCAGAUUUGAGCCUAUAUUAUGAAGCAGCGUGCCUACUUUGGUUAAAAGAUUGGAUAAAAUUGGAGAACAGAGACCUACUGGAUUUAGAAGGUUUCAAUAACCGGUAUGGGUGGCACGCAUAUCUCUGGUACGAGAAGGUGAAAGUCCACAGGGCUUUCUUAAACCAUAUUUUCAGGGGACCAAUAUAUCAGGUCUGGGAAAGAAAUAAGAACCUUCUCGAAAGAAAAACACCAUGGUGGAUUUCACCAGUAGAGGUCUUAACAAUAAAAAAAACCAACAUGGAAGGGAAGACAGCCACCUACGAAGAUUUGCUAAGAAAAUCAGAACAAGGGCUUAAACUUAAACCGUAUGAGGAAAUAAAGGAUCAAUUCACCGGCUGGUUACAAUAUCAUCAGGUGAAUGAUAUGUUAAAACAAGAUAAAAGAAAAAUGGGCUUUGAGGACAAGAAAUCAAAAUUCAAUAUAGAAAUAAUAGAAGGCAAAAACAAAACAUUGUCUAAAUUAUAUGACAUAUUACUGGAAUGGCAUACAAAAGACGAGGAAGUCAAAGAGGCAAUGAUUAAAUGGGCAAUUGACUUCGGUUAUAACAUCGAGUUUGAAAAGUGGUUGAAAUUGUGGAAUAGAGACAUUAAAUUUACGGCCUGUACGAGUUUGAGAGAAAAUGUUUGGAAAAUGCUCUAUAGAUGGUAUCUUACGCCGGCAAAAUUGGCUAAAAUCUAUAGAUCAGAAAAUAAGACAUGCUGGAAAUGUGGUGAAGGGGAGGGAGACCUCUACCAUAUGUGGUGGCAAUGCAGCAAGGUGAAGGUUUUUGGGAAGCAAUUUAUAAUGAACUUAAAAAGUUUUUAAAUACACUUUUCCCAAGAGACCUGAGGCCUUUUUGCUGGGAAUAAUGGGUAUUUCUCUAUGCCACCACAGCCGCAAGAAUUAUGCUGGCACAAAACUGGAAAAUAGAAACUAUUCCUAACAUAAGUGACUGGCAGGUCAAAAUGAUCAACUAUGCCGAGCUAGAUAGAUUAACAGGCAGAAUACGAGACCAAGACGACCAGAAAUUUCAAAAAAUUGGAGUAAGUUUUGGAAAUAUAUUGGAACGGAUAUAUAGGAGGAACUGGCGGUAUUAGAAAACUUUAUCAGCUAAUAACUAUAAACUUUAAUAAACUAAUUACGCAACCCGGGACUUAUUUGAUACUUACCAAAAGGGUGAAGGGAAGUCAAAGGCUAAGGAGAGCCUAAUGGUUAUAUUAUUAUUUUUUGUAUGAACAUAUGCUUUUUUUGUAUAGUAUGAAAAUAGGAUGAAUAAUUUAUGUUAAAAUGUUUAUUUUUGUAUUUGUUAGUUCUUUUUCUUUUCUUUAUACAAAUUCUGAAUAAAAAUUUACUUGCAAAAANNNNNNNNNNNNNNNNNNNNNNNNNNNNNNNNNNNNNNNNNNNNNNNNNNNNNNNNNNNNNNNNNNNNNNNNNNNNNNNNNNNNNNNNNNNNNNNNNNNNAAAAAAAAAGAAGCAGGUGCAAGGGGCCGAAUCGCAGCUCCAGCUCUGAGCGUUGCUUCUCUUCCCUCCUGCCAGGCAGCAUGUCAAGGAGCAGCUGAGAUAAAUUGCAACGCCUCCCACUCUCCUGGCCCAUUUCUUUCUUAUGAAUGUGUAAUGUAUGCUAAUGAAUUCCUCAGUUUGGGGGCAUAUGGUUAAGACAUAUAGAUAGAGCCUAAUCUUAGGAGGAGGAAGAAAGGGGCUUCCAUGCUACAAGCUGGGGGUGGGCAGGGAAGGAGAGAGGGAGGGGUGUGUACUGGGUGUUGCCAAAUAGACAUUUGGGCCAGUGGGAGCAACACUGGUUGGUCUCGAGAUUUACCGUAUUUAUUUAUUUUGGAGGAAAGGAAGAGGAAAGCGCAUGACUGAUUUCUCCAUGGGGGGGUGGAAUGAGAGAGAGAGAGAGAAAAAAAAAUGUAUUGCAAAGUUAUGGAAUAAUGGCAAAGAUAUUGUUAAAGAGAAAAGAGAGGAGGCAUAAAUUAUUUUAUUGAUUAAUUGAUUGAUUUUUAUUGAUUAAAUAUCUAUCCCACCCUUCUUCCCAAAGGAGCCCAGGGCAGCAGCAGAAAGUCUCCAAGGUGCCCCACCCCCUAGAAAGCAUAUUAAACUCCCUCCUGUCCCCUUCCAUACCGCCUCUGUCUCUGGAGGUGGUACAUGGCCAUCAUGACUAGUUGCCACUGAUAGCCUUCAUCUCCCAUGAAUCUGGUCCAAACUGGUCCAAGUUGAAAGCCAUCACUACAUCUUGUGGCAGCACACAUGGACACAGAACAAAAGAACAUAGAAAUCAAAGGUCAUCUCCUGCCCACUGCAACACACGUUGUUCCUGGUUUCUGUGCUGAUCAGAGCCACAGCGGAAAAGAACCUUGCAAGCACGUCCCUGAUUCUGGAGUUGUUACACAUCUAGACCAAGGAAGUUCUCCCACCUUAAAGGUCUUCUUCUCAAAGGAAGGAGUAGUUUUCCACAGGCAAGAACUGGAGGCAUGUAGCCACUCUCCUUUUAGUUUGAAAUAAAACAGGAAAGCCUACAGACACAAGAACCCCUUGCACAUCACAACAUUCCCAAAGGUCUUUCCCUCUUGUCCAUUGAGUUUCAAAACAAAAGGCCUGCAGGCAUUUAGAGAAUACUAAAAAGAAGGCUGUAUUUCUCUCUCUCUCUCUCUCUCUCUCUCUCUCUCUCUCUCUCUCUGUCUCUCUCUCUCUCUCUGAGUCAGAUAAAGCCCAGUGAUGGAGCCCCCUUAUCCCAGCUGUGGUGCGC
rnacentral:lncRNA from 1 species